CAGGCUGUGAACUCGAAGAGUAGGGCGGGACACGUGGUAUCCUGUCUGAAUAUGGGGGGACCAUCCUCCAAGGCUAAAUACUCCUGACUGACCGAUAGUGAACCAGUACCGUGAGGGAAAGGCGAAAAGAACCCCGGCGAGGGGAGUGAAAAAGAACCUGAAACCGUGUACGUACAAGCAGUGGGAGCACCUUCGGGUGUGACUGCGUACCUUUUGUAUAAUGGGUCAGCGACUUAUAUUCUGUAGCAAGGUUAACCGUAUAGGGGAGCCGCAGGGAAACCGAGUCUUAACUGGGCGUUAAGUUGCAGGGUAUAGACCCGAAACCCGGUGAUCUAGCCAUGGGCAGGUUGAAGGUUGGGUAACACUAACUGGAGGACCGAACCGACUAAUGUUGAAAAAUUAGCGGAUGACUUGUGGCUGGGGGUGAAAGGCCAAUCAAACCGGGAGAUAGCUGGUUCUCCCCGAAAGCUAUUUAGGUAGCGCCUCGUGAACUCAUCUUCGGGGGUAGAGCACUGUUUCGGCUAGGGGGUCAUCCCGACUUACCAACCCGAUGCAAACUACGAAUACCGAAGAAUGUUAUCACGGGAGACACACGGCGGGUGCUAACGUCCGUCGUGAAGAGGGAAACAACCCAGACCGCCAGCUAAGGUCCCAAAGUCAUGGUUAAGUGGGAAACGAUGUGGGAAGGCACAGACAGCCAGGAUGUUGGCUUAGAAGCAGCCAUCAUUUAAAGAAAGCGUAAUAGCUCACUGGUCGAGUCGGCCUGCGCGGAAGAUGUAACGGGGCUAAACCAUGCACCGAAGCUGCGGCAGCGACACUAUGUGUUGUUGGGUAGGGGAGCGUUCUGUAAGCCUGCGAAGGUGACCUGUGAGGGUUGCUGGAGGUAUCAGAAGUGCGAAUGCUGACAUAAGUAACGAUAAAGCGGGUGAAAAGCCCGCUCGCCGGAAGACCAAGGGUUCCUGUCCAACGUUAAUCGGGGCAGGGUGAGUCGACCCCUAAGGCGAGGCCGAAAGGCGUAGUCGAUGGGAAACAGGUUAAUAUUCCUGUACUUGGUGUUACUGCGAAGGGGGGACGGAGAAGGCUAUGUUAGCCGGGCGACGGUUGUC
rnacentral:rRNA from 1 species